GACGAACGCUGGCGGCGUGCUUAACACAUGCAAGUCGAGCGAUGAAGCUCCUUCGGGAGUGGAUUAGCGGCGGACGGGUGAGUAACACGUGGGUAACCUGCCUCAUAGAGGGGAAUAGCCUUUCGAAAGGAAGAUUAAUACCGCAUAAGAUUGUAGUUUCGCAUGAAGCAGCAAUUAAAGGAGUAAUCCGCUAUGAGAUGGACCCGCGUCGCAUUAGCUAGUUGGUGAGGUAACGGCUCACCAAGGCGACGAUGCGUAGCCGACCUGAGAGGGUGAUCGGCCACAUUGGGACUGAGACACGGCCCAGACUCCUACGGGAGGCAGCAGUGGGGAAUAUUGCACAAUGGGGGAAACCCUGAUGCAGCAACGCCGCGUGAGUGAUGACGGCCUUCGGAUUGUAAAACUCUGUCUUCAGGGACGAUAAUGACGGUACCUGAGGAGGAAGCCACGGCUAACUACGUGCCAGCAGCCGCCGUAACAC
rnacentral:rRNA from 1 species